GCCGCUGCGGCCUUUCUCGAACCCUCGCUUCUCCUUCUCGCCGCGGGGUGUUUUCUUUCUUUUUUGUUUCCCCCGCUGUCCACGCUGCGCGGUUUACAGCAGCGCAAAUGAGUGAAAACAAUAUCUCUAAAAAAAAACAACAUUCCGGUUCGAUCCCUUUUCCGGUUGGUUGUCGGUCAGCGUGACGGGAGAGCGACACACUUGAAAUAAGCAGCGCGUCCCUCGGCAUUCGGAGGCCGCACUGACUCCAUAUUCUGCGCGGCGGUGUUUUGUAACGUUUAAUCUGCAGUUCCCGUGUUGUGCGCUCGGUCCUUUUGGUGGAGACCGAGGACCACCGGUCCUCCGCAGAGAGAGUCGAACAAAGCCUUUUGUUUUUGUUUAUUUUCGGUCGGUUUUUCUUUGGCUUCGUCUCGUUCCGGCUGAGUUUGGACAUUUUUUCUUUUUGUUGUGUGCAAUGUGUGACAUCUCGCACUUCGCAGAGACGUUGAGGCCCUUCUGCGCUUCUCACUGCAGCGCAUCCUGAGCUUUUCUGAUGGGCGAUCCAUAAACGAUUGUGUGGAAAUGUACCUUUAUUUCAAAAAUGACCUUUGCUUGGUUUACUUUUUUUUUUUUCCUUCCCUUUAUGCACAACCGAGGUCUCGCAUAGGCCAUCAUUUCUUUUCUUGAAGCAGUAAAAGUUACUUAAUGUCAAGCUUAUGGCACCAGCUACUACUUGUGAUGAACAAACGCUAUGUACAUAGAUAUAAAUUUAUAUAUGAAUAUAUAUAAAUGGGUCUUUGCACAAGUUAUCUCCAUGUCCGCUCCACGCGAUUUCAACUGGAAAAACAAAAAUGCGACUGAAGAUUCUGGAUAAAAAAAAGAUAUAUGCUUUACAAUUCUUUGUCUCAUUAACAUUUUGCACUUAUUUAAAGAGGCUUACUUCUGUUUCUGGGCUGUCAGAGCGGUUUUCACGCUCGGCCAAGAUAUUGUACAAUAUGUAUAUGUAUUUUUAUUCAUAUGCAUAUAAAUAUAUGUCUAUGUAAUUUGGCUCCUGUGUUCUGUUUUCAUUUUCUCACCUGCUCACAAGGCGAGGAAGCCAGAUGCUUUGGCUCUGUGGGUUGAGGACGGGCCUUUAUUAAACACUUCAUCCAAAUCCCCGGCGUCUCUGUCCUCAUCAGCGUGGCAAAGAUAUCAAGCCAGUGGACGCUUCACCUUCUCCAGCGUUUUUAAAUACGUUGCCACCAACCAAACCAAACCAGAAUUAAACGUGCAAACAAAGACUGAAUUGCUGUGCCCUUGGGAUAUUAAGUGGAAUGUUACAAUACGUGCAAUGACUAUGGCUAUUCACCUUAAUGUCUGAAGGAAAGGUUCGUGGAAAAAAAUUUUUUUACAACAUGCAGGUGAAGCUGCAAGUUCGAUUAAGUACAAUGUGACACAAAGUGUUUACUUUUCACUCCACUUCUUUAAAUUUAAUAACAAAAUCGCUUUGCAACAUCAUGAACACAUUGACACUGAUGCAUCAAUAAUUGUAGUCCAGUAAAAUGCCUGAUUCUUAAAUAGUACUUUUAAUUUAGCUACUUAACAACUUGUACUUUAAGAUGAGAGUACUUCUUGCGUUAAUACAUCAAGCAGUACCUGUUACCUACACAGACGUGGUUCAGGGGGGGACAUGGUGCUCGAAUCUGUUUAAAAGACCCCAAAAAAAAUGUUCAGCUGUGAUUUAAACCUUCAGCAAUUUCCAACUGAAACUCUGGCAGCACCGUGUGUACACGGGGCAACGUGCAGAGCGAGCACAAGCGUAUGUCCGGCUUCACUUUAUAAGUAUAGCGCAUAUCCCCCAGACUUCAGCGAGGGGCACCAUUCCAUGCCGGGACAAUUGACCUGCAGGGUGCCAAUUAUAGUGAUUGGCACCUUUUAUUUGAGCGAGGAAAAGGCGAGAGGGCCGGCAGAAAGGACACCAGAUGGGUGGCCCUGUUUCAGAGGUGGGGAGGAGGGUCGGCGGGGUCGGACAGGAGGAGCUGCCCCUGCCUGGCAGAGGGACACACUGUGGUGGGAAACCGCUUCCUGCGAGGAGCAACACAACCCCACUAAUUGGGUUUUUAUUGGUGGUUUUUAAUUGGGGGUCUGUCAUUAGCGGCCGUAUUAACUAAUAGAUUAAAGGUUAUGCAGUUUGAUGUGUGUGUGUGUGUGUGUGUGUGUGUGCGCAGUUUAACAGGGAAAGGAAGGUAGAGAGAACUCGGUGGUCAUGGAAGAAUGUUAAUAAACAUAAACAUGUAGAUGUCAGUUUUAUUGACAACUCGUAUAUUUCAAUAACUACAUUAUUUAUACCAAAGCUGCAACUGUUGCACCUGCCACUGGAAACCACUGAUAAUGAAAAAACAUGAUAUGAUUUUUGCCUGAUCAACUGUUAACAUCACAGUUGUAUUGAAUGAAGUAAUUUACAAGCUGUAAAGUUGAAGACGCCACAAAAAACACGUUUACAAUUUAGGUAAUUUAUGGAAAACACUUAAAAUAUUUUAACGGAAUAAAUAUAAUGGGAACCCUUAAUUCCAUCUCCCCAAAUUUAGCCUUCACAUGACAUUUAUUACAGUAGUUGAUCUUAAUUUGAUUUAUUAUUUCACAUAUUUGUCAACUUUACCUUACAGUAUUACAGUAAAAUUAGUCUUAAUAUAAUAUAGUCUUAUUAUGGCCUUAUAGCUGAGCACAACUGCGCGUUAUAAACAUUUAAUAAAUUGUUGAAAAACAAUAAACGUUAAAUAAUCAGACUUUUCAGCAUUUUAGGAAAAGUGAAAUACUUUAUUAUUUCAAUACAAACAAAAUGAUGCGUGACGCGUUGUCUGUCAUGUGACCCCCCGAUGCUUCCUGCUGGUCUCAACUGGUCCGACUGGUUUAGAACUGAGCAGCAGAUCAAUUCCACAUCAGCACUCCAAAGCUGUUUGUUGUGCAUCAACAAACGAACUCUCAGCUCCGUGUUGGCUCUGUUUUUUCUCUUAACGGCCCUCGUGUGUGUUUGUGUGUGAUUCUGGAGGGUCCACAGGCCUUUAGGAAUGCAUCGCUUUCCAUGACACCCCCACCCUCUUCUCCCCCUGCUCUCCACCCUCCGUCCCUCCAUCCAACCUCCUCCUCCUCCUCCUAGAAAGCAGCUCAGCGGCCCAUCGGGGGGGCUUCUCCACAAAUUAGGGUCACUAAUUGGGGGUUGGCCUGGGCCGAGACCCCUCCACACCUGCACGGUCAUGUGACAUUCAAAGAGGUGCGUAGGGUCAAGGGUUAUGUACUGGGAGGGUGGUGGGGAGGAGAGGGAGGGUGGUGGGGAGGAGAGGGAGGGUGGCGAUUAGUUGGACUGAACAGACGAGGACGGGGGCUAAAGGAGGAGACUGGACGGGUAAAACACGGAGUUGCGGCUGGUUUUGUCGCUCUUGGACAACCUUUACUGUUUAGAUUGUGUACUUUCUUUCAUUAGCGACCCCAAGAAAGGCCCCCCGAAAAAAAACGCAAAACUACAAAACAGAAAUGUGACUCGAGUGCCGAGUUUCUGAAGGUUAUCUGCGUGUCGGGCAAGAAUUUGAAAAGAGCCGAGGAUACGCAGAGAAAUGUAGCGGAAUGAGACGAAAGAGUAAAAGACACGUUAAGAAAUAGGGGCGGGGACACGCAUGCCCGGUCAGAGGUUAAUUGCCAGGUGACCUCGAGGGCCGGGCAGCUCAGAGGAGGCCCCCCACCCGAAACCGCCGGCCUCUCUCAGCUCUCGUGGACUAAGUGAUGUCUGCUUGUUUUGACACGGUUCACACAAGAGUUGGGCUUAAGCUCGCCGAAAAAGUUUCACAGCUGCAUUCCUGUGAGAGCCGAACCGACCCGAAAAUCUUCCGGGGAGAGAGAAUAAGAGGAAGGAUUAAAAAAAAAAAAAAAAAGAUGCAAGGGAGGGUUUUUUGAUGGUGAAAAUAAGGGGAUAAGGUGCUCAGCAAGGAAGUGAAAUCGGUGCAUUAAAAGGCACGACAUAAUAUGCAGAUUAGGUGUUGAAAGGUGAAUUGUUUAAACAUGUAUGUACAUCUAUACAAAGCUCCUUCUUGACCUCGGAAACAGCAGCUGACAGGACAAUCUCACCAUAAAUGCACCAACAAUAUGACAAAGAUCACACGAUAGGAUCAAAAGCUCUAAAUGAGCUUUUAAAUUGACGUGCUGGAACUGUUUCCAAGGUCAAGAUUGAAUUUUCCUACAGCACAAAUAUGCAUCAAACCUAUGAUUGACUCGAGUAUUUAAAGGCAUUGUGCCACAUUGUGUUUGCUUUCACUUUGCUAUGUACUUUAUCUUUUUACUAAUGCGUUGUACAAACAAGGUUGUUUUGUCAGAAGAUGAAAAAUAUUUUCGUUCUUUUUUCAUACGACAAUAAAAUGUUUUCAGUCUUUUUUGCCAACAAUAGAGCCAAGGCUUAACACGGGUCAAACGUCUGGACAAACAGGCAUUUAGACCAAAGAAAUGCAGGCGGACGAACCAGCAUUGCUGUAUUUUGUGCCAUUGUGACACACAAACACACACACACUUGGUUGUGACAACACAUCAUUGCACUGUUGCCGUUUUUCAAUUUCUCAACCUUUUAAGGAGCUGAAUGAAUCCCGCCGCCGCGGCAGACAAAGAAGCGAAGCUGAAGACGAAUGAAGGUAAGAUUACCAAUUGUAUUUUAACCUUCGGGCAACUCGAGCGCUGCUGCAACAGGAAGCCAGUGUUGUUUUGUGUGGCGCCGUGAAUCAUGUGGACAGAACUGCUGCUUCACUUUGGCCUUGAGCCUGAAGCUGCUUGCAUGUGUGUGUGUGUGUGUGUGUGAGGGGGGGGUGAUGUUCUUCGAUUAGGUCAGUUCGUUGUUAGAAAGCGAUCGCACCUCAAGGUGCACGCGGCGGCGUCUCCGCUGGUCUCCCGGAGCGCGACGCGGCCCCGGCUUCUGCCGGCCCUUUUGUCGCCAACCGCCCGCCAAACGUUCUCCGGGCCUCGAGUUAGAGGAACCUUGAGUUCUUGCUUUCAUUUCCACCACUUUCAAUUCCCUUCCUGUCGCUUCACUUCUGGAGUAACACAGAGUAAUGAAUCCAAGGUUCUGUGUGCGGGAACCUUCUGAUAUUCCACCAUCAUCAUCGCACACGUCCAGACGUGGUGAACCGGAGUCAAGGCGAGUCGACGAUACCCAACCAGUGGGUCUGAGACGGGGACGCGGCAUUUAAAGCGGCACGAGGAAGUCCUUUUGGUGACAGGUGACGACAAGAAGAAUGCCAGUGUCAGUGGGGACAAAAUGCAGCUAAAGCUAAAGCUAUCAGGACGUGUUUGACCGGGGUGUCUUUUGAGAAAAUGUUUCUUUUUUCAUUUUAGAAAAGCAACAGGCGGAAACGUAAACAAAAACACACGUACAUACCCCUGUCAGUACAGGAUUUGAGUCCACAAAUCAUGUACUGACCUUUAAUUCAAUUCAAAAACAACAUCAAACCAUCCGCUUUGUAUGUCUUUUCAAUUCAAUUCAACAUGUGGCUCCAUGCAUAUAGUUAGCUUUGCAUAUAGUUAGCUUUGCAUAUAGUUGGCUUUGCUAGUAACACUUAGUCGCUGUGGGGGAGAGUUAGCUGUCCAUGCUAAUGUUUGCAGUUGUUUUUGUGUUUUACUCCACAGGCCCGUGUACUUCUGUCCAGCGUGCAAAGCCGGCCAUGUCGAUGCUUGAUAACACUGUUCAUGAAUAAUAUGAAUGAUUUCUGUCGAGUUGUUGUGCAGUAACUUGUUAUUCAGAACACAUGACUCGCGCUGCCCUGGGGAGAAAGAUCACUCUUUCGUUGCGCUCCGCCAGGUUUCUUUCUUUUUUCUCCUGAUUUAAGUAUUUCUCUGUGUAUUUUUGCCUCUGUGGCGAUGUGAGGGUCCCGGGACAGAAGACGUCGUAUGUGUACAGAUUUCUGUGCCUUCAGAGGACAAACAGGCUUUCUUUCAUAUGUGAUUUUGGGCUAUACAAAAUUAAUUGAAUUAUUGAAAAUGACAUGUGCAAUUUAGCCACAUAUGGUGGUAUUUCAGGAUAUUAUUGGUAAAAACGUAACAUCAUUAUUUUAUGGAAAAUGCUUCGUCAACUGCAUUCUGGUCUUGUACGUUAAAUAAGUUUUACCUUCCCGCCCUUUCAAAUGUUGGUUUCACACUCGGCUCAUCCCCAUCAGGCUCGGCUUGACCCUCUGCACCCUGGGGGUCACUGCAGGUUGCCCUCAUUAGUAACAGGGGGUCUCAACCUCGACCCGGUCCACCACCCUAUUUGUGUCCUCCCCAAUGGAACGACCACACAUGAACAGAGGUUCCUACCCGGAUGGUAACCUAUAACCUCGGGAACUCCACGUCCUUCUUUGCCUCCAUUCAUGCUUCAUCCAGUCGGACUUGCAGCAAUCUGUUGAGUCAAUGAAAAGGGAAGAGACACAAACGCACACGAGACGAUCGCUUCCUCGCCCACACACACACACACACUCAGCCAUUGAGUGUUUUUUCGGAGCCGGAGCAAAAACAGAGGGAGCUAGUGAGAGAGCCGGAGCAGGGGACGGGAUUAUUGUGGGGAAGCGGAAGAGAGGAGGAGGAGGAGGAGGAGGAGGAAGAGGAGGAAGAGGAGGGGGGCCCCUCUCUGCCUUUCAAAUGGACGCGUGAACAAAGGGCCGGUCAAACCGUCCCAGGCCUAAGGUGUUUACCGCUCUUGUAUCUAUAACCAACAAAUCAAGGAUCCCCCCCCCUCCCUUCACUUCCACCG
ensembl:lncRNA